CCGUCGCGGCUUGCUUUAUGGCUACUGAGAAAAAUGAUGAAAUGAGGGAGAUGAGUGGCCCCUGGAGGGUCCACCGAGGUUUUCCAGUCGGACGCUGCGGCGAGGAAAACCAUUGUUUGCCUUCUGGCAUGAGAUAUCCCUGCUGGGAACUGAGAAGGCACGGAAGGAGGAAGAGACAGACACGGGAAACCCCAGCCACAGAUGUCUUCAUUCCUCCUUCCCAGGCUUUUGCUCAGAUACAGCUGGCCUCUGGAGAGUUAUCUGGACACACUUGUGGCCUUCUACACACACAAACAACAAUAAAGAUCCCAAAUGAACAGGAGGUAGGAAUCAGCAGAGGUCCAAGAAAAAGGGUGUGGCCUUGGACCAGAUGCACAAAGCAGGCCUCAAGAAGGAAAGAACCAAUUGUUCUAACAGUUGCCAGGUGAGUGGUACCCUACAGGGACACUUCAAGGAAGGGGUGAACAGAAGACUGACUGCUGUCUGUCCCACUGCUAACAAUAAGAGAUGAGAGGUGAGCACCUCCUUAGAGGAAGCUGGGUGGGAGGAGGACCCUGGGUGGCCACUACCAUGGCAGCAGGCUCGAGGGAUG